AGGCCCAGGCUGGGUCCUAUUCAUUGGUUACAAGGAACUCACCAUACACAAGGAACAGCUGCUGAGUUCUGUCCAUGGUGCUGAAAACAGGGUGCACCCUCCCUCUAACCUGACCUUGACCCUGACCCUCACCCACACGUUCCUACCCACCUCAGAGCUUCUUCCUGGCACAGACAGAGCCCAGAACAUCGAAUGGUAUCACAGAAUUAGAAGGUGGCAUCAUCGUACUGCACAGUGGGAUAAGAGCAAUACAGGAGCAACCGGGCUAGCUGCUGCAGAGGCCUGGCUCCUCAUUCUGAACCAUACCAAGGGUCUGAUUGGUCCACUUAACAAGGAAGAAACUAGAAGACAGAGAUAACUACCUUGCCCAAGGCAAUGAAGAAAAUGGCGAAGCUGAGUUCCCACCGUCCACCCGCACUGACAUCCUCCUGCGGGAAAAGCUCUCAAAUCUAAGAUCCCAGCAGCCACCACGCCAGCUGGUUCUGAGAGUAUGACAUCACCAACCGUGUACAGGUCCCAGCAGCCACCACACCAGCUGGUCCUGAGAGUAUGACAUCACCAACCGUGUACAGGUCCCAGCAGCCACCACGCCAGUUGGUCCUGAUAGUCCAACAUCACCAACAGUGUGCAGGUCCCAGCAGCCACCAUACAACCUGGACCUGAGACUGUGACAUCACCAACAGUGGAUGUUCAGGUUAUGCCUUCCUAUAUGACUGGUUUAUCUUACUCAGUAUAGCACCCUCAACACUGAUCCAUGUUGUAGUCUGGGACACUAUUCUCUUCCUGACCAUGACUCUGUAAUAUUUCAUUGCAUUUAUGUCCAAAAUCUACUCCUCUAUUAUUUGGCAAGUAUAUUAAGGUCUAUCUACAGGAUGGAAAUUAGAGAAAAAAAGCAAGAUAAAUCUCAGAGCAAACAAAGAAACAAGCAGGAAAAUUUAGGGAUUUUUGCGUUAGAUAACCAAGAGAAUGUUCCAGUAAACCAAUAUGUCUCACCUGGAGUUUUGUUUGCUUGUGAGAAAAUGGACAAAUCUCUGGGAAAUGUAACUCAAAGCAUAAAACACAAAAAUGCAUAAAUUAUAAGGGUUCUGUGUGUAGGUUUGGUGUUGUGUAAUAUGGUUUUGAAUUCUCAAUGAAAUGGAGCAUUUCCCUGGAAAAUCAAAAUUCUAAAAACCCUAGACAAACUCCAUGCUUAAAAACAAUGCAUAGAAAAUGCAAAUGUAAUUUGAACACCUCCUUGCUGUUCCUGGCUUAGCCAGCUUCAAAUAACAUAUCUCUAGAGCCAGACAAACCACUCCAGACCAUUGCAGUGGGUCCCACAGUUGGCUGA